GCCUGACGUGCCUGAAAUUUUGACUCAAGCCUGAUAGUAAGGUGAGCAAAGUUUCAGGUGUGUCAGUCU
rfam:Lingula anatina scaffold460, whole genome shotgun sequence.